GAGUAAUGUCUGGGAAACUGCCUGAUGGAGGGGGAUAACUACUGGAAACGGUGGCUAAUACCGCAUAACGUCGCAAGACCAAAGAGGGGGACCUUCGGGCCUCUUGCCAUCAGAUGUGCCCAGAUGGGAUUAGCUUGUUGGUGAGGUAACGGCUCACCAAGGCGACGAUCCCUAGCUGGUCUGAGAGGAUGACCAGCCACACUGGAACUGAGACACGGUCCAGACUCCUACGGGAGGCAGCAGUGGGGAAUAUUGCACAAUGGGCGCAAGCCUGAUGCAGCCAUGCCGCGUGUAUGAAGAAGGCCUUCGGGUUGUAAAGUACUUUCAGCGGGGAGGAAGGUGUUGUGGUUAAUAACCGCAGCAAUUGACGUUACCCGCAGAAGAAGCACCGGCUAACUCCGUGCCAGCAGCCGCGGUAAUACGGAGGGUGCAAGCGUUAAUCGGAAUUACUGGGCGUAAAGCGCACGCAGGCGGUCUGUCAAGUCGGAUGUGAAAUCCCCGGGCUCAACCUGGGAACUGCAUUCGAAACUGGCAGGCUUGAGUCUUGUAGAGGGGGGUAGAAUUCCAGGUGUAGCGGUGAAAUGCGUAGAGAUCUGGAGGAAUACCGGUGGCGAAGGCGGCCCCCUGGACAAAGACUGACGCUCAGGUGCGAAAGCGUGGGGAGCAAACAGGAUUAGAUACCCUGGUAGUCCACGCCGUAAACGAUGUCUACUUGGAGGUUGUGCCCUUGAGGCGUGGCUUCCGGAGCUAACGCGUUAAGUAGACCGCCUGGGGAGUACGGCCGCAAGGUUAAAACUCAAAUGAAUUGACGGGGGCCCGCACAAGCGGUGGAGCAUGUGGUUUAAUUCGAUGCAACGCGAAGAACCUUACCUGGUCUUGACAUCCACGGAAGUUUUCAGAGAUGAGAAUGUGCCUUCGGGAACCGUGAGACAGGUGCUGCAUGGCUGUCGUCAGCUCGUGUUGUGAAAUGUUGGGUUAAGUCCCGCAACGAGCGCAACCCUUAUCCUUUGUUGCCAGCGGUCCGGCCGGGAACUCAAAGGAGACUGCCAGUGAUAAACUGGAGGAAGGUGGGGAUGACGUCAAGUCAUCAUGGCCCUUACGACCAGGGCUACACACGUGCUACAAUGGCGCAUACAAAGAGAAGCGACCUCGCGAGAGCAAGCGGACCUCAUAAAGUGCGUCGUAGUCCGGAUUGGAGUCUGCAACUCGACUCCAUGAAGUCGGAAUCGCUAGUAAUCGUGGAUCAGAAUGCCACGGUGAAUACGUUCCCGGGCCUUGUACACACCGCCCGUCACACCAUGGGAGUGGGUUGCAAAAGAAGUAGGUAGCUUAACCUUCGGGAGGGCGCUUACCACUUUGUGAUUCAUGACUGGGGUGAAGUCGUAACAAGGUAACCGUAGGGGAACCUGCGGUUGGA
rnacentral:rRNA from 1 species